rfam:Triticum aestivum genome assembly, contig: Triticum_aestivum_CS42_TGACv1_scaffold_643156_T_5DL-0.067024_4BS-0.035931
CAGGUACCCCCUUUGUCUGAAAAUACUUGUCAUCAAAAUGAACAAAAAGGAAUGUAUCUAGAACUAAAAUACAUCUAGAUACAUCCCCUUUUAUUCAUUUUGAUGACAAGUAUUUCCGGACGGAGGGAGUAUGUG